rnacentral:rRNA from 1 species
GAUGAACGCUGGCGGCGUGCCUAAUACAUGCAAGUCGAGCGAACAGACGAGGAGCUUGCUCCUCUGACGUUAGCGGCGGACGGGUGAGUAACACGUGGAUAACCUACCUAUAAGACUGGGAUAACUUCGGGAAACCGGAGCUAAUACCGGAUAACAUGUUGAACCGCAUGGUUCAACAGUGAAAGACGGUCUUGCUGUCACUUAUAGAUGGAUCCGCGCCGCAUUAGCUAGUUGGUAAGGUAACGGCUUACCAAGGCAACGAUGCGUAGCCGACCUGGGAGGGUGAUCGGCCACACGGGAACUGAGACACGGUCCAGACUCCUACGGGAGGCAGCAGUAGGGAAUCUGCCGCAAUGGGCGAAAGCCUGACGGAGCAACGCCGCGUGAGUGAAGAAGGUCUUCGGAUCGUAAAACUCUGUUAUUAGGGAAGAACAAAUGUGUAAGUAACUAUGCACGUCUUGACGGUACCUAAUCAGAAAGCCACGGCUAACUACGU